ACAAAUCCGUGGGGCUGUUUAAUGGUAUUUAUACUGUGGACGGCCACAUAAACUCGGGGGGUAGCGACUCUUGCUUCUCCUCGAUCAUCAUCAUAUAUGUGUAGUUGACUAAUUUGUGGAUUAAUAUUUUA
rnacentral:misc_RNA from 1 species